UACGCAGGGUGCAAGCGUUAAUCGGAAUUACUGGGCGUAAAGCGUGCGCAGGCGGUUUUGUAAGACAGAGGUGAAAUCCCCGGGCUCAACCUGGGAACUGCCUUUGUGACUGCAAGGCUUGAGUGCGGCAGAGGGGGAUGGAAUUCCGCGUGUAGCAGUGAAAUGCGUAGAUAUGCGGAGGAACACCGAUGGCGAAGGCAAUCCCCUGGGCCUGCACUGACGCUCAUGCACGAAAGCGUGGGGAGCAAACAGG
rnacentral:rRNA from 1 species